rnacentral:tRNA from 1 species
GCGGGUGUGGCGGAAUGGCAGACGCGCUUGACUUAGGAUCAAGUACCGAGAGGUGUGGAGGUUCAAGUCCUCUCACCCGCACCA